CUGUAACACGGUUAACACAGUUAACUUAAAUAUAUAAAUGUUCGCCAAAUAUCUCAGAUCUGCAAGAGGUUAAAUUCCUGACAGGAAGAAUCACUUGGACUGUACCAAAAUACUGACCAAAAGUGCAGAAUAUACCUUUGAAUGUUUUACUGUUAAUUAUGUUCUAGUUAAGAAAUAAAUAGUUCUAACAGAGCAGCUAACUUCUGUGGGAAAGAUCAUAGCCACACUCUAAACAGAAUCUUUACCAGACCAUAAUCCUUAAUGGACUUUCCCUUACCCCCUGUCUAUAUCCUACCAUUUGGUCUGGUCCCUCCUCAGUGCUUUAGUUCCACAGAAGAGGUAAGAUGUCUGUUACUGCUCUAAUCACCUCAAAAGUUUUAUGGUUGAUUUUAAGAGUUAUUCUUUUGCUGAAUCAACUUGUCUUACCUCCAGCUAUAGCAGCCUUAUGCUUUUAUCAGGUUAGUAGUGUGUAGCAUAUUCCCAAAGUGAUUAAUGGAGACAGGCAGAGCACAUGGGAUCUAAAAUGUCUGCCAUGAGAAAACCUGUAUGCUGUAAUCCUCACAGUUAUAAACUGCUUAUUGUACUAUGCUGAGGUUGUUAUAUACUAAUGUGCUAUGUAUAUUAGCUAUGUUGCUUUUCCUUACAUUUUCCUGUAAUAUGUCAGUGGGGGUGUAUUGAAUUAACUGCCUGUUGUAAUGUAGGUGGGCUGGUGGCCUGUGAUGUACCUGAAAUUGGCAGUGUUCUCCUUACUGUUUUACAGGUAUGUUUAUACUUUAUGUUAAACUUCCUCUGUUAUGUAAAAUCCACUAUACGAUCACUGUUCUGCUCCUCAGUGCUUUAGUUCCACAGAAGAGGUCCCCAGCAGACAGUGCCAAUCAAUAAAGCAUUGUAAAGUUA